GAUGAACGCUGGCGGUAUGCUUAACACAUGCAAGUCGAACGGACUCUUCGGAGUUAGUGGCGGACGGGUGAGUAACGCGUGAGAAUCUGGCUUUGGGUUCGGGACAACCACUGGAAACGGUGGCUAAUACCGGAUGUGCCGAGAGGUAAAAGAGAAAUUGCCUGAAGAUGAGCUCGCGUCUGAUUAGCUAGUUGGUGAGGUAAAGGCUCACCAAGGCAGCGAUCAGUAGCUGGUCUGAGAGGAUGACCAGCCACACUGGGACUGAGACACGGCCCAGACUCCUACGGGAGGCGGCAGUGGGGAAUUUUCCGCAAUGGGCGAAAGCCUGACGGAGCAAUACCGCGUGAGGGAAGAAGGCUCUUGGGUUGUAAACCUCUUUCCUUAGGGAAGAACAAAAUGACGGUACCUAAGGAAUCAGCAUCGGCUAACUCCGUG
rnacentral:rRNA from 1 species